GCUGUGAUCCGGGGAUUUCCGAAUGGGGAAACCCACCCGAUGAGGGUAUCGCUGACUGAAUCCAUAGGUCAGCGAGGCGAACCGGGCGAACUGAAACAUCUCAGUAGCUCGAGGAAAAGACAUCAACCGAGAUUCCGGAAGUAGUGGCGAGCGAAACCGGAGGAGCCUGCACGAUAUAGCCAUCGACUUAUCAGAACGGUCUGGAAAGGCCGGCCACAGAGGGUGAUAGCCCCGUAUGGAAAAAGUUGGUGGUGGAACUGGGCGUGCGACAAGUAGGGCGGGACACGUGAAAUCCUGUCUGAAGAUGGGGGGACCAUCCUCCAAGGCUAAAUACUCAUCAUCGACCGAUAGUGAACCAGUACCGUGAGGGAAAGGCGAAAAGAACCCCGGGAGGGGAGUGAAAUAGAUCCUGAAACCGCAUGCUUACAAAAAGUCGGAGCCCUUUGGGGUGACGGCGUACCUUUUGUAUAAUGGGUCAGCGACUUACAUUCAGUGGCAAGCUUAACCGAGUAGGGAAGGCGCAGGGAAACCGAGUCCGAACAGGGCGAUUGAGUCGCUGGGUGUAGACCCGAAACCAGGUGAUCUAUCCAUGGCCAGGCUGAAGGUGCCGUAACAGGUACUGGAGGGCCGAACCCACUACUGUUGCAAAAGUAGGGGAUGAGCUGUGGAUAGGGGUGAAAGGCUAAACAAACCUGGAAAUAGCUGGUUCUCUCCGAAAACUAUUUAGGUAGUGCCUCACGUAUGGCCUUCGGGGGUAGAGCACUGUUUUGGCUAGGGGGUCAUGGCGACUUACCAAACCAAGGCAAACUCCGAAUACCGAAGAGUCUGAGCGUGGGAGACAGUGCACCGGGUGCUAACGUCCGGACACGAGAGGGAAACAACCCAGACCGCCAGCUAAGGUCCCUAAAGUCGGCUAAGUGGGAAACGAAGUGGGAAGGCUAAGACAGUCAGGAUGUUGGCUUAGAAGCAGCCAUCAUUUAAAGAAAGCGUAAUAGCUCACUGAUCGAGUCGUCCUGCGCGGAAGAUGUAACGGGGCUCAAGCCGGCUACCGAAGCUGCGGAUGCGUGGCAACACGCAUGGUAGGAGAGCGUUCUGUAGGCCUGUGAAGGUGGCUCGAGAGGGCUGCUGGAGGUAUCAGAAGUGCGAAUGCUGACAUGAGUAGCGUUAAAGCGGGUGAAAAGCCCGCUCGCCGUAAGCGCAAGGUUUCCUACGCAACGUUCAUCGGCGUAGGGUGAGUCGGCCCCUAAGGCGAGGCAGAGAUGCGUAGCUGAUGGGAAGCAGGUCAACAUUCCUGCACCGGCUGCAAGUGCGAUGUGGGGACGGAUCAAGCUAGGUCAUCCGGCGGUUGGAAGUGCCGGUUUAGGCGGAAGUAGGUGAUGGGCAGGCAAAUCCACCCAUCGUAUGCCGAGGCCGUCGAUCGAGCGGGCUAGUUCUCGCGAAGUGACCGAAUGGGGUCCCAGGAAAAGCCACUAAGCUUCAGCUUGCAGCUGACCGUACCGCAAACCGACACUGGUGCGCGAGAUGAGUAUUCUCAGGCGCUUGAGAGAACUCGGGAGAAGGAACUCGGCAAAUUGACACCGUAACUUCGGGAUAAGGUGUGCCCUAGUAGCGUGUAGUGAACAACGAAGCGCGAAUGGGUUGCAAAAAAUAGGUGGCUGCGACUGUUUACUAAAAACACAGCACUCUGCAAACACGAAAGUGGACGUAUAGGGUGUGACGCCUGCCCGGUGCCGGAAGAUUAAGUGAUGGGGUGCAAGCUCUUGAUCGAAGUCCCGGUAAACGGCGGCCGUAACUAUAACGGUCCUAAGGUAGCGAAAUUCCUUGUCGGGUAAGUUCCGACCUGCACGAAUGGCGUAACGAUGGCCACACUGUCUCCUCCCGAGACUCAGCGAAGUUGAAAUGUUUGUGAUGAUGCAAUCUCCCCGCGGAAAGACGGAAAGACCCCAUGAACCUUUACUGUAGCUUUGUAUUGGACUUUGAACGGAUCUGUGUAGGAUAGGUGGGAGGCUGUGAAGCGGUGCCGCCAGGUGCCGUGGAGCCGACGUUGAAAUACCACCCUGGUGCGUUUGAGGUUCUAACCUGGGCCCCUGAAUCGGGGUUGGGGACAGUGCAUGGUAGGCAGUUUGACUGGGGCGGUCUCCUCCUAAAGCGUAACGGAGGAGCACGAAGGUACGCUAGGCACGGUCGGACAUCGUGCUGGUAGUGCAUAGGCAUAAGCGUGCUGACUGCGAG
rnacentral:rRNA from 1 species